CCUACGGGUGGCUGCAGUGGGGAAUUUUGGACAAUGGGGGCAACCCUGAUCCAGCCAUGCCGCGUGCGGGAAGAAGGCCUUCGGGUUGUAAACCGCUUUCGGCCGGAACGAAAUCGCCGGGGAGAACAUCCCCGGUGGAUGACGGUACCUGACGAAGAAGCACCGGCUAACUACGUGCCAGCAGCCGCGGUAAUACGUAGGGUGCGUGCGUUGAUCGGAAUGUCUGGGGGUAAAGCGCGCGCAGGGGUGUGAAAUCCCCGGGCUUAACCUGGGAACUGCGUUUGUGACUGGCGGGCUGGAGUGCGGAAGAGGGAGGUGGAAUUCCCGGUGUAGCGGUGGAAUGCGUAGAGAUCGGGAAGAACAUCGGUGGCGAAGGCGGCCAGCUGGGCCGUUGCUGACGCUGAGGCGCGACAGCGUGGGGAGCAAACAGGAUUAGAUACCCUAGUAGUC
rnacentral:rRNA from 1 species